UGGUCAGAACAAUUGAUUCAGUAGGGGAUUAACGUAAUACCACUAAGUGAGAGGAGGUCACGUAGUCAGGCUAAUAGGUAAUGAUACUUGAAGGAAGAAGAAAACAUAAGCAUCGGCUAACUCUAUGUCAACAACUGUGUUAAGACAAAGGAUGCAAGUGUUAUCCGGAAUGAUUAGGCAUAAAGCGUCUAUAUGUGGCUUUUUAAGUUUACCUUCAAAUCCUAGGGCUCAACCCUGGAAGGCGGUGGAAACUACCAAGCUGGAGUAGGGUACGGACAGAGGGAAUUUCCGAUGGAGCAGUGAAAUGCGUAGAGAUCGAAAAGAACACCAACGACAAAAGCACUCUGCUGGGCCGACAAACUCUAAACCCUAGACCCAUAAACAACCCCCCUAAACCCUAACGAAAAAGAUGAUUUUUUUA
rfam:Lupinus angustifolius cultivar Tanjil chromosome LG06, whole genome shotgun sequence.